AGCGGCGGACGGGUGAGUAACGCGUGAGCAACCUGUCCUUAAGAGGGGGAUAACAACGUGAAAACGUUGCUAAUACCGCAUAAGACCACGUGGUCGCAUGACUAUGAGGUAAAAGGAGAAAUCCGCUUAAGGGUGGGCUCGCGUCCCAUUAGCUAGUUGGUAAGGUAAAGGCUUACCAAGGCGACGAUGGGUAGCCGGACUGAGAGGUUGAACGGCCACAUUGGGACUGAGACACGGCCCAAACUCCUACGGGAGGCAGCAGUGGGGAAUAUUGGGCAAUGGGCGAAAGCCUGACCCAGCAACGCCGCGUGAGGGAAGAAGGUUUUCGGAUUGUAAACCUCUGUCGCAGGGGAAGAAAGAAAUGACGGUACCCUGUGAGGAAGCUCCGGCUAACUACGUGCCAGCAGCCGCGGUAAGACGUAGGGGGCAAGCGUUGUCCGGAAUUACUGGGCGUAAAGGGUGCGUAGGCGGCAAUUCAAGUCUGAUGUGAAAUACCCGUGCUUAACAUGGGGGUUGCGUCGGAAACUGAAUAGCUAGAGUGCAGGAGAGGUAAGCGGAAUUCCUAGUGUAGCGGUGAAAUGCGUAGAUAUUAGGAGGAACACCAGUGGCGAAGGCGGCUUACUGGACUGUAACUGACGCUGAAGCGCGAAAGCGUGGGGAGCAAACGGGAUUAGAUACCCUGGUAGUCCACGCUGUAAACGAUGGAUACUAGGUGUAGGGCCCGUCAAGGUUCUGUGCCCGUGUAACGCCAAUUAA
rnacentral:rRNA from 1 species